rnacentral:rRNA from 1 species
AAUAAGCAAAACAAGGGCGUAUGGGGGAUGCCUAGGCUCUCAGAGGCGAAGAAGGACGUGAUAAGCUGCGAAAAGCUGCGGGGACUGGCACAUACAGGUCGAUCCGCAGGUAUCCGAAUGGGGCAACCCACCGUACUGAAGGUACGGUACCCGAAAGGGGGCGAACCCGGGGAACUGAAACAUCUAAGUACCCGGAGGAAGAGAAAACAACAGUGAUUCCGACAGUAGCGGCGAGCGAACUCGGAUUAGCCCAAACCGGUGCCGUUACGGCGGCACCGGGGUUGUAGGACCGCGAGGUUCGAUGCGCAAUGAACUAGAACACGUUGGAAAGCGUGGCCAUAGACGGUGAUAGCCCGGUACAGGCAAGGAGCGUUAUCGAUAGCGGUAUCCUGAGUAGUGCGGGGCACGUGAAACCCUGUAUGAAUCCGGCGGGACCAUCCGCCAAGGCUAAAUACUCCUGAGAGACCGAUAGUGGACCAGUACCGUGA